CCAAUAGCGUAUAUUAAAGUUGUUGCAGUUAAAAAGCUCGUAGUUGAAUUUCGGGAUCAAUUUAUUGGUCGUGCUAUUGUACGUACUGGUAUUAUUGAUUCCUACCUUCUGACGAACCAUGAUGUCAUUAAUUUGGUGUCUUGGGGAAUCAGGACUGUUACUUUGAAAAAAUUAGAGUGUUUAAAGCAGGCUCACGCUUGAAUACAUUAGCAUGGAAUAACGAAAUAGGACGUUUGAUUCUAUUUUGUUGGUUUCUAGGAUCGACGUAAUGAUUAAUAGGGAUAGUUGGGGGCAUUAGUAUUCAAUUGUCAGAGGUGAAAUUCUUGGAUUUAUUGAAGACUAACUACUGCGAAAGCAUUUGCCAAGGAUGUUUUCAUUAAUCAAGAACGAAAGUUAGGGGAUCGAAGACGAUCAGAUACCGUCGUAGUCUUAACCAUAAACUAUGCCGACUAGGGAUCGGAUGAUGUUAAUUUUUUAAUGACUCAUUCGGCGCCUUACGGGAAACCAAGUGUUUGGGUUC
rnacentral:misc_RNA from 1 species